AACCAGAUAGCUCAGUGGUUAGAGCAUCCACCUAGAUUAGGAAGGUCCUUGGUUCAAACUCAGGUCUGGUCA